rnacentral:rRNA from 1 species
AUUGAACGCUGGCGGCAGGCCUAACACAUGCAAGUCGAGCGGAUGAAGGGAGCUUGCUCCUGGAUUCAGCGGCGGACGGGUGAGUAAUGCCUAGGAAUCUGCCUGGUAGUGGGGGAUACCGUCGGGAAACGGGCGCUAAUACCGCAUCCGUCCUGGGGGGGAAAGGGGGGGAUCUUCGGACCUCACGCUAUCAGAUGAGCCUAGGUCGGAUUAGCUAGUUGGUGGGGUAAAGGCCUACCAAGGCGACGAUCCGUAACUGGUCUGAGAGGAUGAUCAGUCACACUGGAACUGAGACACGGUCCAGACUCCUACGGGAGGCAGCAGUGGGGAAUAUUGGACAAUGGGCGAAAGCCUGAUCCAGCCAUGCCGCGUGUGUGAAGAAGGUCUUCGGAUUGUAAAGCACUUUAAGUUGGGAGGAAGGGCAGUAAGUUAAUACCUUGCUGUUUUGACGUUACCAACAGAAUAAGCACCGGCUAACUUCGUG